rnacentral:rRNA from 1 species
AUGAAGAAGAAGGGUGUUAGCAUAUUUGAAAUGUGGGACAAAUCUUCAAAGACAAGGAAAAUAACUUCUACAUCCACACCAACUUCUCUUUCCAUUGAGGUUGAGAGCAAUCUGCAGCUAGCAAUAGUGCAAAGACAUGACGAAGCUCCGCAACCGGAGAGGGAGACAACUCCAAUUGUAGAAGAUGAUGAAGCGUUCGAUGAAGAUGAUGAAUCAAUGCCCCAAUUUGAAGCAGAUUUGGCAGCUCUGGAACGUGAUUCUGGCAAGCGACUUCCCAUAUCUUCGUAUCAUGCCAAUGACCAAGAUAGAGUUAGAAGGAGAUACAUUGACUUGGGUGUUUUUCAACCAAAGGAUCAUAAGUUUGAGAUCAGAGAUUUUAGUGGACAUCCGCAUCGCUUUUGCCCUACUUGGUUUAAGGAUCAUAAGUGGCUUGAGUAUAGUGUGCAAGAAGAGGCUGCUUUCUGCUUUGUUUGCUACUUGUUCAAGGAUAAAACAAAAAGUCCCGGAGGAGAUGCAUUCAUGAACGGUGGGUUUAAUAAUUGGAACUUGAAAGCUAGAUUGAAGAGGCAUAUUGGUGCUGUUAGUAGUGCUCAUGCUGAAGCUCCAGAAAAGUAUGAUAAGUUCACUAUACCUGCAACAUCAAUUAGGGAGUCCAUUGCUUCAAACACCACACAGUACAAGGUUGAAAUGUUUGUGGGUGUCAUUGAUAGGCAACUUCAUGAGCUGAAUGCAAGAUUUGAUGAGGUAAACACUGAACUACUUACUUGCAUGGCAACAUUCAGUCCACGUGAUUCAUUUGCUGCUUAUGAUAAAGAGAAGUUGGUUAGCCUUGCUAGAAAGUUUUAUGCUAAGGAUUUCACAAAUGAUGAAUUGUCAAGACUUUCAUGGCAAUUAAGCAUGUUCAUUUCUCAUGUGCGUAAGGAUAAAAGGUUUAGCAAGUUGAAGAGUCUAUGUGAGCUUCCAGUUUUGAUGGUUGAGACAAGAAAGAAUGAACAAUAUUAUAUUGUUUACAAACUUCUUAAGUUGGUUCUCACUCUUCCGGUAGCCACUGCUAGCGUUGAGAGGGUAUUUUCCUCGAUGAAAUACGUGAAGAAUUCACUAAGAAACAAAAUGGGUGAUGAAUAUUUGAACAAUUGCUUGGUUACAUUCGUUAAGAGAGAAUUCUUCAGGCAAGUGAAAGAUGAGGAUGUCAUCAAUCUCUUCCAGAAAGGGGAUCGUAAAGUUAUAUUGUAA